GAGAGAGAAGAAAGGGGCUGAACGUAGAAGAGGAAAAGAAGAAAAGAAGAAGAGGCAGUGAGAGGGAGUGGGUUACCGAAAGAGAAAGAGAGAAAUGAGAAGUAAGGAGAACUAUGAGAUCGAGAGACAAGGAAGAGAAGAGAGUUGUAGCUGCAACCUCCAUCUACAGUAAAGAAAAAGGAGAAGUCACCAUUGAAGAAGCUAUAGCCAUCAUGGAAGUUGCAAAAUCAAGUUAAAAUUAGGGAUUCAAGUAUCUCUCUUUUGGAUAAAAUCUAAGAGGCCAUAAGCUGCAAUUAAGCUGUUUUGAGAAAAGUGCCUAUGGGGCAUAGCAGGAGCUGAAAUGGGACGUAAGCAGCGUCGAGACUUUAAAAAAAAUGUUUAAGUUUCCCAUAGAGUUGCAGCAACACAUCAUAUCGCAUAAGAGGGUGGUUCAAGCGAUGAUGAUAGAUAGAAGGUUUCUAAUUGCGGGGAGUGGCUUGCUGAACCUUUCACAAAUCAAGGUAAUAUUUGUGUGUUUGAUUUUAUAAAAAAUCUUGGUUUGUGUUUAUGAUGGGGAGUAAUAGUAGAGGAAAAGAUGGUGAAGGAACUUCUGGAAUUAACAGGGUUGAUGAUGAUGAUGAUGAUGAUAGUUAUGAAUAUUUACAAGAGAUGAAUUUUGUGCCUUAUGAAACACUUCUUCACAAUAACAUGAAUACCAAUGGUUUUGUAGUUCCCUUUGUGAUGCAACAGGUUAGAGACACAUGAUCCUUUUUUCAUUUUCUUUCAAUUUCUUUUUAUUUUAGAGAGAUUUUUAUGAUAAUGAAUUUGUGAAUUUCUGGAGACACUUCUAAACAAAUUUUAUGAUAAUGAAUUUGUGAAUUUUUCAUCACCUCCAAGUUUCUCGUGCGUCUUACUUUCGGAUUGUAAAAUCCAAAAAAAAUGUGGAGGGAGGGAGUAUCUUAUGCUUUUUUAGAAAUUAAAUCUAAAUAAGGCCACAUUUGACAUGCUGAUAUUGUGCAUUUUGUCUCCCGACUAAUGAGUGGUAUAAAUUUAGGCAGGAACCACCUGUGCUACAGUUCUUAUCCGAGCAAUAUUUACGGAAGGAUGCAAAUCAGUAGCAGCUGAAUGAAUGCAAUGGAUCUGAGGCGAGGUAUAAAUAUGGAUGUUGAUGCUGUUGUGACAAACUUGAAAAGCAGAGCACGAAUGAUUGACACUUCCGAAGAAAUAACUCAGGGUCGACUGAAGCAAUGUCUUAUACGAUUGUCUUCCCCGUCAAAGCACCAUUUCUCAAUCUAAGAAUAUCCUUAUCUCCAAAAUUAGAGAUUAAUGGAAGGUUAAUGAGAUUUUGUAGCUGGUCUGCUCGGUUGUUUUUAUUGUGUCAUUCUUCGGCUGUCAUGCUCAUCUGCACCUGUGUUUUUGCAGUGGUUAGGAUGGUUUAUGUGUCUUGGAAGUUGGAAUUGGAUCAAGCUGCUUGAGUGUUGUCCGAUACACAACAGUUGGUGAAAUACUUCUCUGCAAUCGCGGUGUAGUAGAAUCUACAUAUAUUAGGACUUUUGUUGGUAUCUUGAGAUGUUUAGGAUCUAAUUAUUCAAGUAUAUGGUGUGAUGUUAAUUGGCUUGAAUAAUUCUAGCUAUUGUUGAAUUUAAAUAAUUAAGUGAUGGUCCUUAUUUAGUGCCGUAACAUUUUGGGAUUGGCUUA